GUAGGGAAUUUUGCACAAUGGGCGCAAGCCUGAUGCAGCAACGCCGCGUGAGUGAAGAAGGCUCUUGGGUUGUAAAGCUCUUUCGGCCAAGAAGAAGGGGUAGUCUGCGAACAGUUGGCUAUUCUGACGGUACUGGAAGAAGAAGCACCUGCUAACUACGUGCCAGCAGCAGCGGUAAUACGUAGGGUGCAAGCGUUGUUCGGAAUUACUGGGCGUAAAGCGCGCGUAGGCGGGCUUGUAAGUCGAUUGUGAAAGCCCUGGGCUUAACCCGGGAAUGGCAGUCGAAACUACAAGUCUUGAGUGCCUGAGAGGAUGGCGGAAUUCCCGGUGUAGAAGUGAAAUUCGUAGAUAUCGGGAAGAACACCUGAGGCGAAGGCGGCUAUCUGGCGGUGCACUGACGCUAAGGCGCGAAAGCGUGGGGAGCAAACAGGAUUAGAAACCCCGGUAGUCC
rnacentral:rRNA from 1 species